UUUGGGAAGUGACGAAUAACUAAAUUCAGAUAUCCAUCCUAUUAUGGAUUUAUGUGUGUACUGAUAUGAUGAAAAUUUGCACGUCAGUCUGAUCCCAUA
rnacentral:snoRNA from 12 species